rnacentral:lncRNA from 12 species
AUGCUAAAAAAAAAAAUAAAAAAUGCUGAUUCCCGAGAUUCAGUGGAAGCUUCGACCAUUGGUCUCCCAAAUAAUGAUGUAAAUUCUCACAGCUUCCUGGGAUGUGGCCAGGAUGCCUACAAUGUGUUGGUCACUGUGACUUGCAAGGAAAACAUAAAUGGAGAUGCACAAGGUCUUGAAAUGGGAGUUCCUAACAUCGGAUCAAUGGUGAAUCCCUACGAUUGACUUUUUUUUAAAGGUGUAUAUAAUCCUCUUAGGGGUGUGUUUGUGUGUGUGUGCACCUGUGUGUGCAUGUGCACUUUAGCGAGCAAAACCCAAGAUUUCAAACAAUCCUUAAAGUUGAUGUAAGAGAAAAAGCUAACAACCGUUGCAGAGGCUGACAGUUAUGUAAGCAGGUAAUUUGAAGACUGCACUAGGAGUGCCAUAUAAUAGAGCUAUGCACAGUAUCAUGAGCUAAUGGGUGGAGUUUUCACCAUUGUCUGUGACACAGAGGUCAGAGAAGGCUACGGAAAGAAAGUAGCAUUUGUGUUACAUGUGGAGGAUGAGUAGGAAUUCUCCAGGUGGCUUGAAGGGAGGAUAGAUGGAAGUCGGUAUGCCUGGAGGGGCAGUUCACCUCCACAGUCGGAGGCCAUCCUACAAGCUGGAGCAUGAUUGGUAUUUUCAUCACUGCAGCUUGACAAAUGGAACAUGCUUUGUCAUUAGUCAACUGUUACGGAGUUCUGCAGGCAUGCCCAGGCUGACCACAGAUGGCUGAGACCACAUGAAUACGUGGUAUUCUGAUCAUAUGCAGAAUGAAUGCUCCCGGUUUGGUGGGGAAGGAUCAAAAGCACUUCAAAUGCUUGGUGCUGAGCUAGGUAGGCUUGCAGGAGUGCUUAACUUCAGUGCCAUGUGGCUUCUCAGAAGCUCUAGCCUGCACGGGCAAGCGGCUGGAGCCCCAUGAGGGGUGAGGAAGCUGGCCUCAAUUCUGAUUGACCAGCCUCUUCCUCUGUUCCUUCCCAUCAGUCUCAGCUUCCUCUUCUAUGUGUAACAGUCACCACUUCCUGAGAACCUGUAAGUCCCUGCUCCCACGCCAGGUGAAUUAUCUCCCUCAUUUCGGUUAAGUCCCCCAAUAUCUUACAAGGUAAGUUUUAUCCUCUUCAUUUUCCUGAUAGGGACAUUCGGGUCAGAAAACUCAAAUAACUCCAUUGAGGUUAGGCAGCUGAAAAAGUGGUGACAACAGCAUGGGAGCCAUUGCCUCCCUCUGACUCCACAUCCCGAAGCAUUUUAGUUCAUCUCAUUUGUUCUGGAUAAGUCUCCAUCUUAAUAAUUCAACUGUGUUUUAAAUGUCAUCAUCCUGAGGCUGUUGACUUACCAGCGAAACAACAGCUGCAAGUGUAAUUUGACACUUAGUUCUGGAGAGCCAGAAUAAUGUAUUAGGCAUAUAUUGCUUAUGUGGGAAGUUACAAAGCUGAGUUUUUCUGCAACUGUGCCAAGUUUUGACGGUCACGACAGAGUUUAAUAUGAAGCUUACAGGAUAUAUUUGAGGCUAAGAUUAAACUGUCUUCUUUGUGAUCUGGAUAUUACCACUGAGAUCUGAUUACAUCUUUAAAGGUAGGUAAGUUUCAAAUAAAUAGAAAUGUGUCUUUUCA